rnacentral:rRNA from 1 species
UCUAAACCUUUCUUGCGAUGCUAGUGUGCGUUUUCAACGGAUACGGCUACAAUAUCUCAAUUUGUGGUCGUUAUAGGUGAAUGGGUGAUGUAAUUCGUACGAUCAUUCAUGGAAAUCGAGGUUUUUUAGUUGUUUUCAAUCCCUUUGCGAAUUUAGGCGUCAAUUUGAGGUUAAAUUUGAAAAUUGUUCUGCAAUUUCCCAAUGAAAUCACUUGAAUAGUAACSAAAAACGUUUAAAACAAGAUCCGUCCCACUUUUUUCUUUUUUUCUUUCCUGUUUGUUUCUUUUUUAUUCGUUAAUUGAUAAAUAGAAAAGGCUUUCGCAAUAUGAGUUAUAUACAAAUAGUGUGCGAAUG